rnacentral:rRNA from 1 species
CCUACGGGUGGCAGCAGUGAGGAAUAUUGGUCAAUGGACGAGAGUCUGAACCAGCCAAGUAGCGUGAAGGAUGACUGCCCUGUGGGUUGUAAACUUCUUUUAUAUGGGAAUAAAAUGUUCCACGUGUGGGCUUUUGUCUGUACCAUAUGAAUAAGGAUCGGCUAACUCCGUGCCAGCAGCCGCGGUAAUACGGAGGAUCCGAGCGUUAUCCGGAUUUAUUGGGUUUAAAGGGAGCGUAGGUGGGUUGUUAAGUCAGUUGUGAAAGUUUGCGGCUCAACCGUAAAAUAGCAGUUGAAACUGGCAGUCUUGAGUGCACUAGAGGUGGGCGGAAUUCGGGGUGUAGCGGUGAAAUGCUUAGAUAUCACGAAGAACUCCGAUUGCGAAGGCAGCUCACUGGACUGCAACUGACACUGAGGCUCGAAAGUGUGGGUAUCAAACAGGAUUAGAUACCCGUGUAGUC